rnacentral:rRNA from 1 species
UACGUAGGUGGCAAGCGUUGUCCGGAUUUACUGGGUGUAAAGGGCGUGUAGCCGGGCUGACAAGCCAGAUGUGAAAUCCGGGGGCUCAACCCCCGAACUGCAUUUGAAACUGUUGGUCUUGAGUAUCGGAGAGGCAGGCGGAAUUCCUAGUGUAGCGGUGAAAUGCGUAGAUAUUAGGAGGAACACCAGUGGCGAAGGCGGCCUGCUGGACGACAACUGACGGUGAGGCGCGAAAGCGUGGGGAGCAAACAGG